rnacentral:lncRNA from 1 species
CUUUUCAUGUGCCGAAUCUAAUUGUAAUUUGAGUCGACCCAAAUAAUAAAGUUCGACGUUUGAUUCAAACGUCGAAUUUUAUUGCAAGUCGAAUCUAAAUAGUGCACAUGCGUAAAGUCAUACAUCUGUCCAGCGGAUUCAUUGUUUGCAGCAAAAUUCAAAAUGGCGGGAGACGAACAUUCAAUGAAUUUUAUCUUAAAUUUAAUCAAACAGAACAGAAGGCGACGAUUAUUACUGC